CCUCACAGAAGGGUUUCAACACAUUCUCACUCCCAACUCUUCAAAUACUGACUUGGUCAGUGGUCCUACGCUUCAAAAUAUGAUGUUCUA